rnacentral:rRNA from 1 species
CCUACGGGAGGCAGCAGUGGGGAAUAUUGCACAAUGGGGGAAACCCUGAUGCAGCGACGCCGCGUGAAGGAAGAAGUAUUUCGGUAUGUAAACUUCUAUCAGCAGGGAAGAAAAUGACGGUACCUGACUAAGAAGCCCCGGCUAACUCCGUGCCAGCAGCCGCGGUAAUACGUAGGGGGCAAGCGUUAUCCGGAUUUACUGGGUGUAAAGGGAGCGUAGGCGGCGAUGCAAGUCAGAAGUGAAAGCCCGGGGCUCAACUCCGGGACUGCAUUUGAAACUGUUUUUCUGGAGUGCUGGAGAGGCAAUCGGAAUUCCGUGUGUAGCGGUGAAAUGCGUAGAUAUACGGAGGAACACCAGUGGCGAAGGCGGAUUGCUGGACAGUAACUGACGCUGAGGCGCGAAAGCGUGGGGAGCAAACAGGAUUAGAUACCCCAGUAGUC